GACGAACGCUGGCGGCGUGCUUAACACAUGCAAGUCGAGCGGUAAGGCCCUUUCGGGGGUACACGAGCGGCGAACGGGUAGAGUAACACGUGGGUGACCUGCCCUCAGCUCUGGGAUAAGCCUGGGAAACCGGGUCUAAUACUGGAUAUGACUCCAUGACGCAUGUUGUGGGGUGGAAAGCCUUGUAGCGGCUGAGGAUGGGCCCGCGGCCUAUCAGCUUGUUGGUGGGGUGAUGGCCUACCAAGGCGACGACGGGUAGCCGGCCUGAGAGGGCG
rnacentral:rRNA from 1 species